UACGGUGGAAAGCACGUGCUGUGCCUUCCGGACGGCAAGUACUUCGUACCAACACAGAAGGCACGCGUGGCGGCCUACUUGCUGUACGACUCUGUGCGAUAGGGACUAAAUACGGCGAAGUCGAACCUACUCAGAGGUAGCACACCUUGGCCUGAUCUUUCGGCGCUGUUACUAAGGGCAACGGGUGGCGAUACCUAGCACGGUAGGUACUUCUUGUGGACCCUGACCUUGGACCUCCUCCUGUAAUCUGCGUUUACGCGACCGGACGUACUAAGGUCCUGGACCUUAGUAUGGUCGGCUACCAUGGUAUAUUGACCUUAAUUGGGUACGUUCAGCUUCUUCCUAACCGGCCACGACGGCCGACCGCAGUUCAAGCUAGGGUGCCUAGUCCUCGACUAGCUCGUGGAACUCCGGUUUCAGUCACGACUGUCGCGCUCUGGAGUGGGAGAGUAGCUAAACAAGUAUGGUUGGUAGCUGUCGCUCGUGCCGUAUACGAUGUGGGUAGGACUCUUUGAAGGUCCAUAGUGUGACUCACCGGAUUCGUUAGUAAAGAAGGUCGCGUUAAGGUCCCGCAAGUUUUCCCCGUGCACCCGCGCAGCGUUCUAUGUCAGCCUUACGCCGUACGUGCGCUACACCGUGUUGUGGUCGUUAUGGAACGGCCACUACCAGUUGCCGGCCGUCUGCCCGUCGUUUUUCCAAGACCACGACGUGUGGUUGUUCUUGAAGUUGGUCGUCUCCUGGUUGACCCACUACGUGGUCAUGGUGGAGCCCCUGGACCUCGUUCUCUUCCUCGUCCUCGACCAGGAGAUGUUCUAAAAGAUGGUCUGCUUGUGAUCCCGGUCCUCAUUUUUCUAAUAUUCGGGUCGGGUACUGCUGUUGCCCCGUGUUUCUAGGUCGUCAAGUAUAUGUGCAUAGUAAUAUAACUUUCUGGCGCCGAGGAGGCUAGAAGGACUCGAACCCGAAGCAGCACGGGACCCCUAGUCAGCCCGCGUGCCGUCGUCCGAGGCCCGCCGCCUCUGUCUGCUGUUCCGCCCCCGCUGCGGGGUUCUUUCGUUACGGCGGAGUGGGAAGAAGUCUCAGUGAGCAGGGUCGGAGGCGUUUCCCCACGAGGGCCUGGAGUAUUGCUGGGACCACCUCGCGCCCCUAGGGAGCUGGCUCACGAGCCGCCGCCGCCGCAGUAGUCUCUCUGGCACCUUUUCGAGCCAGAUGCUACCCCCUCUCCAGAGGCGGUGUAGCAGAUACCAGCGGAGGCUCAGGAUGAGAGGGAUGGGGAGCCUACCCGAGCAGAGCGCGAGGGCAACCGACCCAGUCGGCACCGGCGCACGUCCUCCAAAACCGGUUAGGCGAGGCGCGAAGGUCUCGGUUAGGCGGAGCAGGGUGAGGGCGUAGAGUCGGCAGUAUGUUUGGGAUCGGGGCAAAAAGGAGCUAGGGGUCAGGGGUGUGCGAGGACGGAGGAGGUAGGGAGGAGGAGCGCACUGGUGCCGGAGGCGGGACGUCGGAGCGGCGGAGGACGAUAAGGCGGAGGUGGUGCGAUCGGGGAGAUGGAGCGGAAGGAAGAGAAGCAACAGUUACGCCGGAAGUAGCUGGGGACCAAGGUCUAGCCCGCGUCCCUUCUCCCUCCUCCACCCGCUGUCCCACUUCCUCGUCCGGCCGGGAGGACCUUCGUGGCGACGGCGAGUCGGUCCUUCCUCCGGUCCGAGCGGAGACGACACGGUACUCGCCGCCGCGGCGGAUACGGAGGUGGGGGUGGAAGAAAAGGUACGGAGAAGGAGGCGUAUC
rnacentral:rRNA from 1 species